UACAGAGGUCUCAAGCGUUGUUCGGAUUCAUUGGGCGUAAAGGGUGCGUAGGCGGCGCGGUAAGUCGGGUGUGAAAUCUCGGAGCUUAACUCCGAAACUGCAUUCGAUACUGCCGUGCUUGAGGACUGGAGAGGAGACUGGAAUUUACGGUGUAGCGGUGAAAUGCGCAGAUAUCAGGAGGAACACCGGUGGCGAAGGCGGGUCUCUGGGCCGUAACUGACGCUGAGGAGCGAAAGCGUGGGGAGCAAACAGG
rnacentral:rRNA from 1 species